GCUGGGCGUGGUGGCGCGUGCCUGUAGUCCCAGCUACUCGGGAGGCUGAGGCGGGAGAAUCACUUGAGCCUAGGAGGUGGAGGUUGCAGUGAGCCGAGAUUGUACCACUGCACUUCAGCCUGGGCAACAGAAUGAGACUCCACCUCAA
rnacentral:SRP_RNA from 1 species